rnacentral:lncRNA from 1 species
CUAUAAUUAAUUGGGUCAUGCAACCAGUUCAGGAUGAAUAUUGGUUCAUAUGUCUGUUUUCUAUAGACCUUCAUCUUAAGGUGACCAUUGUGUAUAUUUAUAUCGAGGUCUAAAUGGUGUAUGGUAUGGGUGCUCUGUUGUUCCUUUUUUUAAGAUUAUACCAUAUAUCUGUAUUGUGAAAGUUGUUGCAAAAUUUUCCAGCUUUCUGAUAUCUUCCCAUAGUACCAGUAUAUCAUCCACAUUCCUUUAUGUAAAAUUUUAAUAAGGAUUGGAAAGAUGGGAUUCUUUCAUCUUCUAUGGUCCUUAAUAAAAUUUCUGCUAACGGACCAACUGUUGAGCUUCUUAUUGGUAUGCCUAUUUUUUUGUUCAUAUAUUUUGCCUUUAAAUGAAAAAUAGAAGCUAUAACAUAUUAGGUGGGCAAUGACCCUCAAUAAUGGUGCCAUGCUUUAUCCUUGCAAUAUAUUCUGUAUCAUGAAUCUAUAGAAAGCUAUGCAGACUGGUUCCAGUUUUAGGGAUGGAUAGAGGAUUUCAAAAUCAUAGGUUGUGAAUAUGGCAUCAUUGUUGAAUGUUGUAUUAUGCAGCUUCGUUAAUAUAGAUGUGGUCAUUAAAGAUGUUCUAUCUGUUUCCCCUAAGAUCCUGUUGCAUCAUUUGGCCAAUGUUUUUUCAAGAUUAUACAUAGAUACAGGUCUCUUCUCGACUAUUGGUCUUGCUGUCACAGGAUUUUUGUGCAUUUUUAUAUAUGCAAAUAGUCUCAGGCAUGCUGGUGUGUUCUGCUUUUUAUGUUUCCAAAUUAUCGUAAUUGUUUAUGCUUAGUAAUUCUUUCUAAGCAUAAACAACUGCUUAGAAAAAGAAGACUUUCUAGACACUGAAACUAGUUGAAAGAAGC